rnacentral:lncRNA from 10 species
AACACGUUUUCCCUUUAACAUCCCGCACCUUCCAAGCUUGAAGGAGACCCCACAUACCUACAGGAAAGCCACCUGGGGGCUUCGUGGACCCACGUGGUGGCUCAGCUCUGCCCUCCCGCUGAGGACCUCUGCCUCCCUUUAUCAGCCGUUUUGGGAACUCCAACAUCGAAGCCUCCUGUUAACACAACAGUCCCUGAUAGAGAUUAACUCAAUGCAAAUGAAAGGAUUUGAGAGCCGAGAUCACCAGCCUGCUACCUACCCCUGCUCCCCCUUGGGAUUCACUUCCAUGAACACCUCAAUUUCAUCCCCUCUAGGGCCAGAGGGAUCAUAAAGGAAGCAAUAAUCACAGCUACCAUUAGCCACCCUUUAAUGAGCGGGUGAGUGCCCUUUCUGCAUCAGACACAGUAUUUCCGUACAUCAUUAGUGCCAAUCCUCACAAUAAUCCUGUGUUCAUCUCCCUAAUUUACAAAGAGGAAACUGAGCCACAUUCCCAAGGUCACAUAACUAGCAACGAGUGAAGAAGCCAAGAUUAGUGUCCAGACUGAAUCAUUCCAGACACCUGUGACAUAGUCAUGCUUUAAGGUGGCACCUUUGGCCACAAGUCCAAAGACAUUUUUAAUAUUAG